ACAGUGCAUAAUUGAGUUCUUACUUUAGACCUAAUUGGGGGCCGAUUUAGCUGUAGGGAAAGGGUACCACUUGGGUUUGAGUAAAGGCAUAGGUUGUUGACAGUAUUGUAGUGUACAUAAAAUAUCGUUGGAAAUAGAAAAGGUGUUGAAAACGUUGAAGCCCACUCUAGAAUUGAAUGAAGGCAGAGAGGGUAAGGAGUGGAAGAGACGGGGUGAGAAGCUGUACAGAGAAUGGAUAGAAGGCGGGGCCAUUGCAUCUCCUACUGGUCUGCUUACUGUGGUGAAUGAAGAUUUGUGUGUGUAUGGUGUAAAUUGAAGCUUACUGGCGUGAAUGAAGAUUUGGUAGAAUCAAAUCGUGUGCAUGAAAUACGCUUGAUAUUCAGUCGGGGACUAAUAUCGGUAUGAAUGAGGUCGGGGACCUUCAGAUGAGAUGUCUGAGUUGUAUUAAUUUGAGCCUGCCAAGCGAGUGUGGUACAUUAGGUAUUUCAGUUGGAGCUGGUACCGGUGAGAAUGUUUAAAAAGUCGCGGGCUUGCUGAUGAGAUGUUUGCACAGAGUUAUAUCAUAGAAUAUUGAGGGGGUGUGCAUGACUGUUGGAAAAAGUGUUAAACUCUAUUAACGUAAAAUUCUGUGUGUAGAUUUAUAUAAUGAGGUUUGAACUAUACUAAUAUUGUAGAAUUACAUAAUCAACAUCUGAACAUACUUACGUUAAACAUUAAUUGAGCCACUGAGUAAUAGAUAAGAUAUACACUAGGUACGGGAGACGGGGCAACGGGUGCGGUCGACGUAAGACGGGAGUGGUGUUCUAACCAAGUGCUGAGAAAUAAGGUAGAUUUAUUUUGUUCUUUUAAUUAAUUUACACAAGUACUUCCCGGUUAUUGAUUUUGGUUUGAUUGUUCAGACCACUGAAAUUAAACAGGAGGUUAAGGUAUACUAACAUUAGAAUCUGUUUUCAUUAUGGGGAACAAUGAAAGGCCCGCAGAGUGGAUUGCAGGCUGAGUUUAUUUUAUGUUAAAGGUACAGUGUAUGUUUAUCACAGUUGUGUGUGUGUCUAAUGGCAGGGUAUUUAAGAAGUAUUUUGGGGAGACAAUUUGGAGAAAAACGAAUGUAAGACAUGAAACAUCGAGACAAAUUAUUUGAGUUUGAGGGGAUUAUCAUAAUUAUUAGGUUUUGUUUUUGUAGUAAACGUUUUGAGUUUAAGGGGAUUUCCAUGUUCCCAGAGACAAUAUAUCUUAAAGGUGUACACUCACAUGAAAUAUUAGAAGUUUUUAUUUUCUGAGUCUUAAUUAAAUAGGUGAAAUCCUUUGAUAAAGGAAUGUUGUUUAAUAUAGUAAGAAACACUUCUUUUGAGGGGUGGUAUGACUUAUGACCUCCAUUGUAACUUUCCUUUGUGGUCUGAUCAGCCUCUUUGGAAAGACAUUUGGAUGGAGAAUCUAAGGUCAUUUGUAAUACUGAUAUUAAGGUAAUUUAAUACAAAAAGGCAGUGAAAUUUACAUUAUAGUGUCAUUAUAUUUUCUCUGAUGAACGUGGUGUGAAAAUGAGCUAGGAUAAGUUUUAAUUAUGGUAGACUCAUGUUAAGUAUUUGGGACAUAUUUGAGCCAACAGGGCAGGGAAGAAAUUGAGAUAUUUGUGUUUGGUUUAAACACCUGUGUACAGGAGUGCCAGUGUACCUGUGUAAUGGGGGAGGGUGUCCGUAUGGGAAUUACAUGAUAACCAACUUGGGACAGUUCUGGGAUUGGAGAAGAGGGUAUCCUUAUAGCAUAGGGGAUCCCACAAAGGUGGAUAGGUUUUCCAUGAUAUGGGGAAAACCUGGGAGCACUGUUGAACUUUGUAAAGGUGAUGAAAUCCUACUAACCAUCAAAACUAUUAAGUUCUCUGAUGCAGGCACUUACACCCUCGGACUACAAAGGACCGGGACAGACACGAUGGGUGUGUUUUCUAUUAAGGUGCUGCCAAAACCACAGAGGUCCCAGACGAACCAGAGCCAGACACACUCAUCUACCACCCCUGGACCGAACCUGCCACCUACCACCACUGUGUCAAAUCUCAUUCAGGUAAUUAACAUUAGAGACUAUUCAGCUAUUGAUCAAUUAGGCACUGAGACUGGUUUUGAUGGUAGGGACCAUUUGUGGCUGUCUUAUAUUAGGUAUACAGCUAAAACCCUGAGAAGAAAGGACUGCAUUGUAUGUAGUCAUGCUAGACCUGUUCUGGCUACACACCCAUUUGCUAUAGGAGAAGGAGAGGGGUGGUUGUGUAUUCUGAGAGGUUUUUACCAGGUUCAGCCUAAUUCAACUCUGUUCCUCUUUGAGCCUUGUGUUUCCUACAGUACCUCCUCAUCGGGCCCCUUGGGGUGUUAAGGCAUAUGGGGGCAAUUACAGUUGCAUCACGGGUACAGGUAAUGGCAUUGAUUAUGGGAGAUUGCCUGAAGCUGAUUGCAGUAGUAACAUAACCAUUAAUUCCACUUGGCCAGUUACAGGCCUAAACCAAACUAGUGGUCUGGCUGAUGUGUGUUGGAUCUGUGGACCCAAAAGAGUGCUGAGACCCAUUCUUAGAGGAGACUGGCAAGGUACGUGUGCUCUGACCAGGUUGAUAAUUCCACUGACCAUUGUUGAUGUUACUGCUGAACAGCUGUUGGGUUCUGUAUCCAGGGGACCUGAAAACAUUCCAUCCUAUGGGAGACAUAGACGUAGUGCUCCAUGGACAGAGGAUGUAGUUGACAUACACACUAACCUGUUGGGAGUGCCAGUGGGGGUUCCUCAUGAGUUUCAGGCCUUGUGUAGGAAUGAUGGACUCUGGCACUUACUACCUAUUAUAGGUCCAGCCAUAGUGGAUGCAAGACAGACUGCAUGGAUUAAUUAUAUCUACUAUAAUCAACAGCGUUUUGUGAAUUACUCCCGUGAUGCACUCACUGGUCUGUCUGAACAGAUUGAGGCCACAUCUAGGGUUGCCAGACAGAAUAGACUUGCUUUGGAUAUGCUUCUUGCCAGUCAGGGGGUUGUCUGCAAGAUGUUCGGUGAACAAUGUUGCACGUUUAUUCCUAAUAAUACCAGUCCAGAUGGUAGUAUAUCUAAGGCCCUUAGUGGGCUUGAUGCACUAUCUGCUGAGAUGAGGACCAUGGCGGGGGUGGAGGAGUCGACUGUUCUCUUGGUUGGGAGCCUGGUUUGGUAAGUACACUGGUAUGGUGGUUACUGGAUUUCUGACCCUAAUUCUUGUAUUUUUAUUAUUGAUGUGUUGUGCUGCUUGCAUCAUACCGUGUUUUAAGAAGUCUGUUACAGAUGUGGUGAAGGCUUCAGGCAUGAUGCCUUUGCUUGAUGCUCCAGUUGGAGAUGCUGAUACUGAAGCAUGCUUUCAGGGGAGGAUGAGACUGACUGAGGAUGACCCAUGGUUCGGAGUUCCUGGGUGGCAUGGUGCCCACCUGGUGCAGGAUAGGAGUAGCUGAGAGGACCAGAUGGUUUAUAAUAAUGCUUUGCUCUGCUUUACUCUGUUUUCCAUGACUAAAGUUUUAUCCUACAUCUUACAUGUCAAUAAACAAUAAAGUUUUAUCCUGUCUUUGUCAAAAGGGGGAGACAAAAGCAUAUAUCACUUGUUGAUUUUUAUUUUUUCUUGGAUGAUUUUUAUUUUCUGUUUUUCUGUAAAAAAAUUAAAUAAUAAUAAUAAUAAUGUUUUAUUAAUUUUAAACGUUUUAUUAUUUUCAUGAAAUGCUAUUAACAUAUUACUAUGUUGGGACCGCUGAAAUAAAGGAUAAUGAGUGGGAGACUUAAGGGAGACUUAAAUUUAACACCAUUUUCUUUUAUUCUGUUUUUAAAUGAGCUGUUGUUCUCUUUUGACAUGAGGGUUUUAAGUUCCUAGGUGGCUGGUAGCCAAUCUAGUACAUAGUGGGAUCGAAUGGAGGACAUGAAGGUAUUUUAAACUUUGUAACUGUUAUAUGAUUCAUUGCUGAAUUUUUUGUUCACACCCUUGGGGGUUGGUUGGUUUAUUACUUAGCUAAUAAAAAUGACAUAGUAUAAAA